rnacentral:rRNA from 1 species
UACGUAGGAGGCAAGCGUUGUCCGGAAUUACUGGGCGUAAAGCGCGUGUAGGUGGUGGGACAGUCUGCUGUGAAAGCGCCUGGCUUAACCGGGCGAGGUCGGCGGAAACUGUCCGACUCGAGGACGGUAGAGGGGGGUGGAAUUCCCGGUGUAGUGGUGAAAUGCGUAGAGAUCGGGAGGAACACCUGUGGCGAAGGCGGCCCCCUGGCCGGCCCUGACACUGAGACGCGAAGGCGUGGGGAGCGAACGGG